rnacentral:rRNA from 1 species
UACUACUUGGAUAACCGUGGUAAUUCUAGAGCUAAUACAUGCUAAAAAUCCCGACUUCGGAAGGGAUGUAUUUAUUAGAUUAAAAACCAAUGCCCUCUGGGCUCUCUGGUGAUUCAUGAUAACUUCUCGAAUCGCAUGGCCUUGCGCCGGCGAUGGUUCAUUCAAAUUUCUUCCCUAUCAACUUUCGAUGUUUGGGUAGUGGCCAAACAUGGUUGCAACGGGUAACGGAGGGUUAGGGCUCGACCCCGGAGAAGGAGCCUGAGAAACGGCUACUACAUCCAAGGAAGGCAGCAGGCGCGCAAAUUACCCAAUCCCGAUUCGGGGAGGUAGUGACAAUAAAUACUGAUACAGGGCUCUUUUGGGUCUUGUAAUUGGAAUGAGUACAAUUUAAAUCCCUUAACGAGGAACAAUUGGAGGGCAAGUCUGGUGCCAGCAGCCGCGGUAAUUCCAGCUCCAAUAGCGUAUAUUAAAGUUGUUGUGGUUAAAAAGCUCGUAGUUGAACCUUGGGCCUGGCUGGCCGGUCCGCCUCACCGCGUGUACUGGUCCGGCCGGGCCUUUCCCUCUGUGGAACCCCAUGCCCUUCACUGGGUGUGGCGGGGAAACAGGACUUUUACUUUGAAAAAAUUAGAGUGCUCCAGGCAGGCCUAUGCUCGAAUACAUUAGCAUGGAAUAAUAAAAUAGGACGUGCGGUUCUAUUUUGUUGGUUUCUAGGACCGCCGUAAUGAUUAAUAGGGACAGUCGGGGGCAUCAGUAUUCAAUUGUCAGAGGUGAAAUUCUUGGAUUUAUUGAAGACUAACUACUGC